rnacentral:rRNA from 1 species
UUGUCCUACGGGGCGCAGCAGUAGGGAAUCUUCCACAAUGGACGAAAGUCUGAUGGAGCAACGCCGCGUGAGUGAAGAAGGGUUUCGGCUCGUAAAGAUCUGUUGGUAGUGAAGAAAGAUAGAGGUAGUAACUGGCCUUUAUUUGACGGUAAUUAAUUAGAAAGUCACGGCUAACUACGUGCCAGCAGCCGCGGUAAUACGUAGGUGGCAAGCGUUUUACGGAUUUAUUG